AACCUCUCAGCACUUUACAGAUUUGGGCGUCUUUCUGCUGAGGAGACUUCACUAAUCAUCUGCGAAAGUGCGUGCGCACACGCACACCCCAGCGCGCACGAGCGUGCACGUGUGUGUACGUGUGAACGUGGCGUGUGCACGUUUGAUAAUAAUAAGGCAAGUGAACAUGAAGAGGAGCUAAACUGUGUAAGUCAUUUCUCAUUUCCUUGCUUCAGUGCCUGUCAGAAGAAAGCCCUGCAUUUUGAAUGAUGGCUCAGACAACAAAAAGUGAACAACAAACCCUGUGGCUCUGAGGAGAGAAAUGGACGAAGAAGGAAGAAGAGAAAAAAAGAAAUAAGGAAGGAGAAAACAAGGAAGGAAGAAAGGAAGGAAGGAAGAAAGAAAGAAAGAAAGAAAGAAAGAAAGAAAGAAAGAAAGAAAGAAAGAAAGAAAGAAAGAAAGAAAGAAAGAAAGAAAGAAAGAAAGAAAGAAAGAAAGAAAGAAAGAAAGAAAGAAAAAAAAAGUGCAUUAUACACAGAAAAGAAGGAAGGAAGGAAGGAAGGAAGGAAGGAAGGAAGGAAGGAAGGAAGGAAGGAAGGAAGGAAGGAAGGAAGGAAGGAAGGAAGAAGAGAGAGAGAGAAAAAAAGAAAGAAAAAAGGAAGGAAAGAAAGAGAGAGGGAACGAAAAAAAGGAAAGAAGGAAAGAGUGAAAGAAAGAAAGAAAAAGUGCAGUAUGCACAAAUUUUUGUUAAAUAUUACAAACAUGCAAUUAAAAAACAAGCUAAACAAAAUCUCACUAUCAGUUCCUUCAUAGUGCUUUUGAACAUGAGAAAAAAAAUUACCUACAGUUUUAGAAGGACCUUUCAAGGGGCUGAUUUAAUGUGAGAGCAUCAAUCCUUUAGCAGCACAGGGCCUUGACAGCGAGUGAAAGUAAUCUCUUCUUUAUUAAUGGGACUUUUCACUUUGGACCCGAGGCCUUUGGUAUUCCAUAGUAGUACUUUCAUACUACAGGACUAAGGAAAGAACAAUAUGAAAUCAGAUCAAGUGGAUGUGUUGUGAAUGAUAAGUGGGAGGUGUUUCUAGAUACAGCAGGACCUUUUGAUAGGAAAAAUAACAGCACAUGGAGGAAGCUCAAGUGAGAACAGCUUAAACAGAAGGUCGCUGUGAUUUAAUUUGUUGAAAACGUAUCAUGGAGAGCAGAGGGAUAAGUUGAUUGAAACAAGGAAACAAUGUACAAAAUAAAAUAACUGGUUGUUUAACUUGUGUUUUAAAACAGCUUGACUACAUAAUUGAAGUUGAUUGUCAGGAGAUGAGGAUUUGAGAAUCUUUUGGAUCACUUUACUGUUGCACAGACUUAAGCCACGCCCACUUCCUGUUUCUAAAACACCUGUUCUGCCACAAUGCCUUUGUCUCAUUUCCUCUCGCUUUGUAUUUUUUAAAUUUUGGUCUCAGUUUUCUGGGCAGUAGAUAGUGCAGUAGUGUUGUAUUGUAGCGGCCCUGGGCUCGCUGUGAAUUGUGGGCAAAGCUAAAGCACAGGUAUUGUCCCUGAGCUUUAGCCUAGCUUAUCCUAGCUUAGCUCUGCUCCUUACCCACAGGCAGCAUCUCAGCCUGGAGGCCACCACAGUUUCCUGUAUCCUGUGAAGCGUGGCUCCUUCUGUUCAGGAAGCUCACCUUGAUUAUCUCUGAUGGUGAAGUUGGGGUUGAUGUGCUUUUCCGGGACCAUGGAGAAGUAGAAGUGGUGACCCUCCGCGGGCUCGUCUGGAUCCACGGCGCCGAUCACCUGGAUGACCUGCGGGAAACGAGGCAGCAUCAGCGAGGAGGCGUGCGAAACGCAGAACGGGUUUCCUGGAGCCUCCAUCACCUAAAACGCAGGGAGAUAUGGUUCUUCUGGAUAGAAACACAGAACCUGGAGCUUCUGCACACAGAUCUCCCAACCAGACGUCAUCAUCACCACUUUGAGAUAAAACUUAUAAUUCGCUGUUGUUGUCUGUAUACUUAACACUUCUAAUUAGACCCUUAGGUAACCCGGUGGUUAGCUAUGAUUAUCCAUAGUAAGAUGUGUGACUGCACCACUGCCCUCGAAGUGUCAUUAAAAUGAACAGGAAGCAUAAAAUGAGACUAGAGCUCUACAAAUUUCAUAAAUAUAUCAUAAAUAUACCCUGUGCGUUCACCUUGGCCAGCAGGAUAACUCCCUCCUGCGUCACCGGGUCUGUUUCGAUGAUGAAUGUGGAGCUUUCCUCCAGAUCAUCCUCCAGACUGUAGGUCAUCCUGGCGUUGAUGCCGGUGUCUCCAUCUUCUGCCAUAAUCCUCCCCACGGUGGUGCCCACGGCGGCGUUUUCCCUGAUGAGAAACAUGUACAUGUCUGCAAAAACAACAAAACAAAAUGACCUUAACGCUGGGAUUCCAAAUCAAACGGAAAACAAAAGUGGGUUUUACCCAAUAGGAUUUUUUUAGAGAGAAAAGAAAACUGAACCUGACGCCAAAGUGCUAAUUUCCAGUCAAGAGACUGUGCAGAGCGAUUGGGAGGGGGAACAUACUGUAGUGGUGCAGGUUGAGUUUGUAGCAUCUCUACAUAAUCCCACCCUAACUCUAAUAAGAAGAUCAGAAAGUUUCAUUGUGUCUUUGAGCAGCACCAUUGCUGAACCGUGACCAAACUGCUCCAGAAAACAAGCCCUAAUAUGUUGCAUUGAUGUGACAUCACAGAGUUCGGUUCAAAGCAACGUGUGACUGGAUAAUAUUUACGAGGCCUCCUCCACCACAGAGCGACUGUGGCACCUGCAAUGAAUGUGGCAUUAAUAGUUAACAGAAUCAUCCUCCGUCUCGUUCCCACAGAAUUGAUUUCUUCCUGGGGCGUUCAUUUACUCCGCUUUAUUGCUGAGAGGGCCGGUUUGUUUCCAAAGGUCAUGACAAAUGUCCUUUCACGUGCGAAUGAUUAAAUUCAUCCAUUGGGCGAUGAACAGAA